rnacentral:lncRNA from 1 species
GGCCCUCCUAUGCUCUCUGAAUCUCAUGUACCUGUUCAUUGUCCGACAACAGCCGUAGACCUUCAGAUCCUCAUCGCGUGGCUGGAGUGUAGUCAUAAAGCGGUACGCAGAGUCACUUAAGCCGUCGUCUGAGCAACGUCCGAUCUCCAUCUGCUGGCUAUGAUCAAAUAACUGUAGCAUGCGCACUUGCUGUACCUGUUCAUGUCGCUGUCGGGCUGCUUUUACCUUCAGUGAACUUUUCCUCUUUAUAAAGACCUCAGAUCCCAUCGGGAGAGGCAUCAAAUGUAAACUGGGUUGUAACCCUAGCCGCCACUGGAGUGGUUGGCCUACUUUCCUCUUCUUGUAAGAAGCCUAGCGAGUUUCCUCUGAAAUCAAGCAAGAAUUCCUCUGAAAUUCCAUGUGUUUGUGUUCGUCAGUUAGUUAGAUCUUAAUAAUUGGUAAUCAGAGCAUAUGGUUCUCGGCGGCGUAGUGGAUUUGGGGGAGUUUAGGAGCUUGCUCCGUUCCCAGAUCCCGGUGGCGGCACGGCAACGGGUGGCACAGGCGGCGGUAGAUUGCUCGAGUGCAGGCCUGGCUUGGGUAGUGGUUGCUUCAGAACUUCUCUGCAGCGGUAAAAUCCCACCCACCCAUCCUCUCCAGUGCACUGUUGGCGGUGGGCGCAGGCGGCGGUGUUCGGCGGUGGAAGAAACAGGAAGCGCAGGUCCGGUUGCCACUUGUGGUUGUAAAAUCCCUCCCUCGCCCUCCCUGUUUGUGUUCUUUAUUCUGUUCGGUGUGAAAGCUUCCUGCUUUCAUAAACCCUGACAGAAUCAUGGCUCUCAACUCUAACUCCGCGGACACGGAUCUCCUCGAGCUCAAGUCCCUCCAGUUAGAUGUGCAAACACUCCAACAACAGCGAGCUGCAGAUCGCCAAGAAUUCAUCGAGUUCACCCACUCGGUCAAUCAAAAUUUUGCUGUUUUGCAAAGCAGUUUUUCCAAAGUUUAGUCGAGUUUGGAUGGUUUCUUCUCAAACCAACCGAAUCUGGGCAAACGCCUACUGACUGAAGGCCCUCCAGGCACUCCUGAAAACCUACCAGUCCACAAAGAUGCGGGGAUUUCACCUGGACAAGGCAGCAUCAACCGCACCUAAAGUCCAUGGCCUGGUGACCACUGUAGUGCCUGAUCCCACCACCAAGGAAAAUCCAGCCGAGCUGGCUGCCAGACACCCAUACAGUUGUGCAUGGGUCAUUUCUGAUAGCCUCCUCACAGAAUUUUGAAACCCACUUAGCAUUUAGUGUUCUCUGACAUAGAAGGGCAUGUGUGCACCAAAUACUGCUUCUUAAUUGUAAAUGACUUCUCAUUUGCAAUCUGAGAAGCUGCUAUAUACAAGGGGCAUUGCUCAUCUAUGCAAUGUGCUAUCACCCUAUCACUACAGUUUCUAUGGUAGACAAAGUUUCUGUUUUGAGCAAUGUGCAGGGUUAACUGGUACACAUUUAUGAAGCAAAGAUGCUUCACAAAUUGCUCCUCUGGAUGAGCUUUGUCCUCAUCAAACCAUAUCCUCUUCUUCAUCUUCUUUGCUCUGCUUUUUCUACCAUUGGGCAACACAUAUGCCAAUGCCUCAGCACCGUCAUCAUCUUCCACACCAAGGUCUUGUGGUUUCUUGUCGUCAUCAGAUGAUGGAAUCCAGUCCUCCUCAAACAUGUGUUCUAUACUCCCAUGUGAAUUGCUUGUUGGGCCUUUUCGUUGUCUCUUGGCCGUUUUCUUCUUUCGUACAUCUUGCCCUAGCUCAUCCUCUUGUUUCUCUUCCUCCAAUUCCUCCUCCUCUUCCUCCUCUACAUCCUCUUCUUCACCUUGUGGCACAUACAACUCAUCAUCCACCUCUAAGUCACACAUUUUGUCAACAUCUGUGUCCCCUUCAAAAUGAAGUUCUGGGUCAUUCCUCUGUCUUCUUAUCUCCACAAGCUUAGCUAUGAUAUCACCAUAUUCUAUCAGAUCAUCAUCAUCACUGUCCUCUUCAUUGUCCAUCACUGCAGCUUUCCUUUUCAAACAAGUCUCCUUCAGUCUUUCUUUCUUGUUCUUCCUAAACAUUUAAAUUUCCAGAGCCAACAACACUACCUCCUGCUAGAUCCUGCGAUCAUGCCAUUCCCCUGACCCCAUAUGCUAAAAUCAUCAACCAAAGAGCUAACAGACUUCCACACCACCAAAAAGAUGCCCUGGAAGAAAUUAUCAACAACAUGAUGCUGAGACACAUCAUCCAACACAGUUCCAGUCCUUAUUCAUCUCCUGCUAUAUUAGUCAAAAAGAAGGAUGCGACUUGAAGACUUCGCAAUGACUACAGGAAGCUGAAUGCUAUGACAAUCAAGAAUAAAUAUCCUAUUCCUGUCAUUGAAGAUCUCCUAGAUGAACUGCAUGGGGCAAAAUAUUUUUCCAAAAUAGAUCUCAAGAGUGGGUAUCACCAAAUUAGAAUGAAGCCUGAGGACAUUGAGAAAACAGCUUUCUCCACUCACAUGGGCCACUAUGAGUAUAUUGUCACGCCCUUUGAGUUGACAAAUGCACCUGCCACUUUCCAAUCCCUCAUGAACUAUUUAUUUGCCAAGUAUCACAGAAAAUUUGUGGUUGUGUUCUUUGAUGUUAUUCUGAUUUUUAGUGAAACUUUGGAAGGGCAUAAAGAGCACCUCAGAGAAGUAUUCAGAGUGCUGAGAGAAAACCAUCUCUCUGUAAGGGCAUGUAUAAUGGUUGAUAAGAUAGUCUUAUCUUAAGUUUUGCAUGUAAUUUAGAGAUGACAAAAAGUAUGUCUACAAUGGGUUAUAUCUUAGCCUUAUCUUCAAUAACUAGCAAUUCCUUAAAACAUGGUGAGACAACUUGUGCUAAGAGAUCAUCUCUUGUCUUAUCUUAAAUAAGAGAAGACAAGUCUUUUCUUACGAGUUCUCUUUCCUCCACCUCAUCAUUUAUCCUACGUGUCACUCCUAAGAUAGCACCAUUGUACAUGCCCUAACUUAGCCAAGUGCACUUUUGGACAAACUAGUGUGGAAUACCUGGGCCACAUCAUCACUGCUGAAGGUGUAGCAACAGACCCUGCUAAGAUUGAGGCCGUCACUAACUGGCCUGCUCCUACCAACAUCACUGAACAAAGGGGAUUUUUAGGGCUUGCAGGCUACUACAGGAGGUUUAUACAGGGUUAUGGAGUUGUGGGCAGGCGUCUCUUUGAUGCUCUAAAAAAGGGCAACUUUCACUGGUCUACCACUCAAGAACAAGCAUUCCAGGACCUUAAAUUUAGACUAAUAGAUGCCCCUGUCUUGGCCCUCCCUAACUUUUCCAAGCCUUUCAUCUUGGAACCAGAUGCUAGUGGCUAUGGUUUAGGUGCUGUCCUCAUGUAGGAAGGAAGGCCCAUUGCUUAUAUGAGCAAAUCUCUUGUCCCUAAAGCCCAGACCAUGAGCACUUAUGACAAGGAAACUAUGGCAAUUAUGGAAGCUUUAAAAGAAUGGAAACAUUAUUUUGCCAGCUCUUCCCUGAUCAUCAGAACAGACCAACAGAGUCUCAAAUAAAUCCAUGAGCAGAAACUUACACAAGGCAUCCAACACAAGUUACUGGUCAAACUCCUGGGCUACAACUACACAAUUGAGUACAAGGGAAGAGAAAACAGAGCAGCUGAUGCACUCUCUAGAGUGAGACACUGCUUGAGCUCUUUAGCUGCUAGUUCUAUUGUUCCCUUGUGGAUCACUGAAGUUGUCAAAUCUUAUUCCAUGGACCCCAAGUACAAGGCCAUCAUUACUGAGCUGGCACUUGAUCCCCAUGCUCAUCCUAAUUACACAUUCCAACAUGGCAUCCUCAGAUUUAAGAACGAAAUUGUGAUUGGCAACAACACUUCCCUCAGACAGGAUUUAAUCUAGACAUUCCAUAAGUCUGAACUUGGAGGACACUCUGGAGAAAGAGCAACUUACCAGAGAAUACACUUGCUAUGUCACUGGUCUGGUCUGCAACAAGAUGUGAUUGCAUAUGUUAAAGCAUGCCCUGUUUGCCAGCUCAAUAAAUCUGAAAAUACCACAUAUUCUGGCCUUUUACAGCCCUUGCCAAUUCCUGACUUUGCCUGGUGCCACAUAAGCAUGGACUUUGUGGAAGGUCUGCCAAUGUUUGAAAACAAAAACCUUAUACUGGUGGUUGUUGACAGUUUCACUAAAUAUGCCCAUUUCCUCUCUAUGAAGCACCCUAUCACUGUUCAAUCUGUUGCCAGACGAGUAAAUUGCAGGAAACCACCACUUUGAAGGCUAGGUUUGCAAAAAACACUACGUUACAUUUCUUUUUGCAGAAAACACCACAUCUUGUGUAAUCUUUUUGCAAAAACCAUUGAUCGGCGGAUCUUGCUCUGUAAAGUGAGAUUAUGACAGAUGGGUCCCAUUUUUCGCUAACAUGGCAUAACAUUUUACCAAAGACAGCGCUAGACGGGUAAAAAAGCGAAAACACCCGCAAGUUUUUCCCCUGUGCUGCCCAUGCCCUUGCCUUGUCCUGCCAUCACAGUCAGCCGCCAGAGGAGAGAAGCCCCCCAUCCCGCGCGCCGUCGCACGUAGCAGCCCGCCAGAGCUCCAACCCUCGACCUCGUCUGCCCUCUUCUCUCUCUCUCUCUCUCUCAACCGUCCUCCCAGUGCCGCCAUCUCCCUCCUCCGGGCGAGGGUUGCCAGGGAGAAGACAAAGCCGGCGAACUGCAUGCCGGCUGCUGCCUUCCUCGGCCUCGAUGGCGUCGGUCACCACCAUGCGCCAGCCGUCGCCGUGCUCACCUCCCAGCCCUGCAGCGCUCCCGCCUCUGCCUGGCCGCACCCACCGCAAUGCCAGCCGAGCCACCGCCGCCCUGCUCCGCCGGCGCUCGCCGCCGCUCUGCCAGCCGCGCCGCUGCCGCCCUGCUCUGCCCGCCGCCGCCGCGCUCCGAGGAGGGAGAUGGAGAGAGGAGGCUGUGCUCCGCGGCCACCGAGGAUGCAGGAGAGAGGAAGAUGCGGUGUCUCAGGCGAGGGAGUGGCUGCCCGGCCUCCUAUGUGUCGGUGCCGGGCGGAGGAUCUGGCGGGAGAGAUGGGGAUUGAAGGGAGUGGGCUAAUUGCAUGUUUUCUUUUUGAUUCAGGGGUUUCUGUGGCAAAACUAAUGGCUAGUUUGUAAAUUCAGAUAGAAGUGAUCUGGCACGAAAUGUUACGCCAUGUAGGCAAAAAAGGGCCCCAACUGUCAUAAGCGUGCUCAAUGGAGCCAAAUCCGCAGAUCAGUGUUAUUUGCAAAAAGAUUACUGAAGACAUGGUGUUUUCUGCAAAAAAACUGUAUUGUAGUGUUUUUCGCAAACCUAACCUUCAAACUGGUUGUUUUCUGCAAUUUACUCGUUGCCGGACAGUUUUCAGACCACAUAUUCAAACUCCAUGGCCUCCCCAGUGUUAUUGUAACUGACAGGGACAAUUUUCACCAGUAACCCGUGGCAGAAACUUUUCAAAUCACUGGGCAUCAAGCUUCACAUGAGUACUUCAUACCACCCCCAGUCUGAUGGGCAGACAGAAAGGGUUAACCAAUACUUGGAAAAUUACCUCGGUGCAUGGCUUUCCAACAGCCUACUAAGUGGCACUCCUGGCUGGCACUAGCUGAAUGGCGGUACAACACCACUUUCCACACCUCUCUGAAAAUGACUCCUUUUCAGGCUCUAUAUGGUUUCCCACCCCCCAUGGUUGCUGAAUCCAGUCUGCCUGAUUUUCUGUGUGAGGACUCACCUGACUUGCUGCUCAACAAGGACCUAGCUCACCAAGUGAUCAAGCAAAAUUUGCAGAAAGCACAAGAAAGAAUGAAACACUUUGUUUACAAAAAGAGAAAAGAAAGGAUCUUCCAGGAAGGUGAUAUGGUGUAUCUCAAGAUCCAACCAUACAGACAUACCUCUCUCAGUAUCCAUAGACAUUUGAAACUACACUCCCAAGUACUAUGGACCUUUCAGAAUUCUCAAAAGAAUGGGUAAUCAUGCUUAUCAGUUCUGCCUGAAGGGUGCAAGCUUCAUAACACAUUCCAUGCGAGUCAGCUCAAGCAACACAUUGGUACACAUGUCAUUCCCACCCCCACCCGCCAUUGGGAACAAGGGCAGAUACAACUCCAACCUGAAGCUAUCCUAGACAGAAAAUUAAUUCCUCGACCUGAAGGUGAUAUCUCUAUUCCUGUGGUCAGAUGGUUGGUGAAAUGGCUCAAUUUACCUGUAGAAGAAGCUGGCUGGGAGGAUUCUGCAUUUAUCCAGAAAAUCUUCCCACAUUUCCAGCCUUCAGAACAAGUCUGAUCUUCNNNNNNNNNNNNNNNNNNNNNNNNNNNNNNNNNNNNNNNNNNNNNNNNNNNNNNNNNNNNNNNNNNNNNNNNNNNNNNNNNNNNNNNNNNNNNNNNNNNNNNNNNNNNNNNNNNNNNNNNNNNNNNNNNNNNNNNNNNNNNNNNNNNNNNNNNNNNNNNNNNNNNNNNNNNNNNNNNNNNNNNNNNNNNNNNNNNNNNNNNNNNNNNNNNNNNNNNNNNNNNNNNNNNNNNNNNNNNNNNNNNNNNNNNNNNNNNNNNNNNNNNNNNNUCAGGCCCUCUGCUCUCUGAAUCUCCUGUACCUGUUCAUCGUCCGACAACAGCCGUAGACCGUCAUAUCCUCAUCGCGUGGCUGGAGUGUAGUCCGAAGCGGUACACAGUUACUUAAACCGUCAUCUGAGCAUCGUCCGAUCUCCAUCCGUGGGCUAUGAUCAAAUCACUGUAGCACACGCACUUACUGUACGUGUUCAUGUCGCUGUCAGGCUGCUUUUACCUUCAGUAAACUUUUCCUCUUUAUAAAGACCUCAGAUCCCAUCGGGAGAGGCAUCGAAUGUAAACUGGGUUGUAACCCUAGCCGCCACUGGAGUGGUUGGCCUACUUUCCUCAUCUUGUAAGAACCCUAGCGAGUUUCCUCUGAAAUCAAGCAAGAAUUCCUCUGAAAUUCCAUGUGUUUGUUUUUGUCAGUUAGUUAGAGCCUGACAAUACAUAGGAUCCAACUGUUCCAGUUGCUCCCAACCGUGAACCGUCGGAUUGAAAUUCCAGUGGCUGUUAUUGGUCCAUAUUGGUGCACUACGUAGGAUUGUAGAUAUAGUUAUACUUGUCCCGCGGUGGAAUCCUAGUUAAACAAAAUAGUUGCUGUGCUAUUAUUCAAAUGGUAUGUGUUGGCAACCUGCAUACAUCUAUUUCCAAAUCUGCUUAUUUUUGAAAUAUAUCCAAACAUACAAAAUUCAGUGAUACCUAAGCUCUGGUCAAGAACUUGAUGUUGACCGUGUGAAACAUGUUGCAAUUUUGUUUGGUAGAUUGCUGGACAGAACCGGAGAAGCGACCAAGCUGCCAGGAGAUCCUGACCCGUUUGCUUGAUUGCGAGUACACCUUAUGUUGAGCUAUUUUAGCGCUAGUAUGUAUAGCGGCUAGAGGCAACACAUUGGUUCGGUUUAUACAUCAUUUCUUUUCCCCUCUUUCACCAUUUUGACAUCUUUGAGAUGUAAAUUAUCAAACUGCAGUAUAAUAAUAAGAACUUCUCAUAGCAUCCUGAAUAUUACACCAUUGUCCUGGAUUAAGCAAUUUCCAUUAUAGUCGUGUAUUUCUUUGUUCAUGUGAUGGAAAUGCUUAUGGGAUGUACCAUUUGUCUAAUAUAAGUUUGACAUAGCUAUUAUGUAUUGUUACAGUUUAAAUUUAUCUGGGUGGGGAACUGGGAGAACUAGAUGAUACCCCGCGCGCUGCAGCGGGACUUAUGCUUCUCAAUUGAUGCAAAGUGAAUUGAAAUAU